UCGGGAGUAGCUCAGCGGUAGAGCAGGUGGCUGUUAACCACCUUGUCGGGGGUUCGAAUCCCUCCUCCCGAGCCA
rnacentral:tRNA from 1 species